CAAAACCCUGAAAAAUGUGGCAUUAUUGUAUGUUGUUCACUUUCAUGAUGUUAUUUUAGAGGAGUAACAAAGUAAUGCAUUUGAAUACAUAUCCACAAUAUAUCUUUUUUUAAGUUUCUAUGGUUUGUUACAAGACAGGCUCUGCAGAUAAAAGUCUUCAACUGUUUUUACAUUGAAUAUUACUGCAAUUUACUUUUAAAUCUAAGGUAAAAAAAUCUUAAUGGUCACUUUCUUUUCACAACAAUCUCUUAAAUUUUAUGUAUGAAUAAGUGAAGAAACAACAUGCAUGAUAUGUGUUAGAACUCUAAAAGUGAUGUAUUAGGAAGUAAACCAUUAAUUGUUAUUUGGACUAGGCAUAUAUAUAUAUACUAGUAAGAUUUAUUGUUGACUAUUAUUAAGUCAUUUUAUAUGUAUAUAUGUUCCAGACCGUAUGAGUAUAUGGACCGUACGCGUACGGUCUGGACCGUAUGCGUACUUUUUCAAAAUACUCAUACGGUCGGACCGUACGCGUACGGUCUGACUAAUAUUAAGAAGUUGGUCAAGUUUAUUAGAUACAAAUGCAUAUUACAGAUCAACAUAACUUAACUCUCAAAUUAAUAUAAAAAAGUUCAAUUGAAAUUGAAAUAAAAACUUUAUAUUCUAACUAUUUAUAAAAAUCACGCUAAUCAACUCUAAUAAUCUCUUGUAUUUAGCAUGUCGAUCAGUUAUACAUUAAUUGAAUUAUGAUCACUGAAAUUGAAGAUAUCUGAAGUAAAUAUAAUAUGGGAGGAGAGUUGUUUUAGAAUGUUUAGCAACUUUACAAAAACAUGCAAAUGCAAAGAAACAUGCAUGAACUGCAAACAUGUACAUUUUUAAAUGUAAAAAAUAUUACGUUACUUGUUGUAGCAAGUGUCACCUUGGGCGAGUGUACCAAAAUAGGAUUCAGAUAUACAAUUAAACAAAUGUUUAAUUUCAAUUGUUCUUUUGUUCAGUUUAUCCAUAUAAUUGUAAUAAUAACAAUUUGUAACACUAAAAGUAAAGAUUGUGAUAAAUUGUUUAAAUAUAAUCUAUAUGAUCCAAUCACAUGUAUGGUCAGCUCGUACUGGACCAUACGCGUAUACUCAUAUGGUCGGACCGUACGCGUAUGGUCGGACCGUACGAGUAUACGUAUACGGUCCGAACCGUACGCGUACGGUCCAAAUACUCAUAUGGUCUGGAACAUAUAUAUAUAUACUUAUCUUUGUAACUAAGAACACCUUAUACAAGGAAACUGCUGUAAAAUUAAAUGUUGAAAACACCUUUAUAUAGUAAUACACCUAGCUCAGACAAGACAUGAAUCAAUCAAUAUAGAUUAUAACAUUGUAGUGCUAUCUGUGAAACUAUUGAAACUAUUUGGAUAUAAUGUGAAAUUCACUGAAACAAAUUGGAGAGUAUUCGAAUUGCUUUAAAAUCUUUUUUGAAUUUUUAUGUGAUGCACCUUGAUUUCAUUGAUGAGUUAGAAUUACACAUUCAAUCUAGUACAAGUGGGUUAAUUUAGUGGUCAUUUUAAAAGCACUUGUCUAGCUCCUACACAUACCAAUGUGAUUAACUUUCUUAGCAUGAUCAGUUGAGUGACUACAGGCAUUUUUCAAAUACUUACUGAAUCCCUUUCAAGACCCCCUGUAUGUGAAAUUUAUGCUAUGGGGAGAAUAUUUGUUUUUGUUAAUUGCAUAUUUACAAAGCUUCUGUUAUUGUGAUUUUGUGAAGUUUUUUUCUGGUAAAAGUGUAUAUUUUUAACAAAUUUUAAUUAAUAUAUUUAUAUUCAUGUAUUAUUAAAUUUAUAUUAAGCUUUUAAAGUAUAUACUGCAUUUGAUAGCAAAGCAUGUUGAAAUAUUCAGAUAUAUCUUAUUCUUUUUUUAUAUUUGUAAUUUACAGAAGAAAUUCACUGAAAAUUCUGUAAAAAGUGCUUGUUAACGGUGUACAUAAAUAACAGCUAAAAUCAUUUUUUACCCAACUUAAUUUCCUUUUAAAGCAUUUAAAUGUUUUUUUUUCUCAUUUACAGACUCCACUGGUUGUAUGUUUUGCUUUUAUUCUAUAGUCUUUUAUAGAUGCAUUAAUAAAAUGUAUAUAUUUUUCUUUAUGGGAAGAGGAAUUAUAUGCCAGAGAGGAAUUAUAGACCUGAGACUCUUGUUAAUUCCAAAGUUGGUUCUUUCUUUUAUUAAUAAAUUGGUCUUCCAUUAGAAGAAUUUUUAGUUUAACCCUUUGCCAUGACAUGAUUCUUAAAAUUAUAUUGGCAUAUUAGAGGGUGAAGUGUAUUUUACGAUGUUCUUUUUUUUAUUCUUUGAUAGAAAACUCAGUAACCUAGACUCUAGUGCCUUUGUCUAAAAAAGGUUAACAUUGAUGUUUUUUGUAUGGCAUUUUGUUAAUUCUGAUAAUAUCAGGGAGGAGAAAGUUGUAUUUCUCUCCUUUUUUUUAAUGAUUUACAUCUCAUGUUUGUUUCUCAUAAUGUUUAAUCCAGAUUUUUUUAAUUCAGGUCCAAAGUGGUAUUUAUACUAUUAAUGUUGACACUAUUACUGCAAAUUUAAUAUCAGAAUAAGUAUCAGACAGUUCCUAUUAAGAUCUUCCAUAAUAUAAACUGAAAACCUCAAGCAUGCAUUCAAUGGGAUGUAAAGAUUUGGUAUAUAUCAGAUUUGUAGCAUUUUAGGAGAUGCAAUAACAAAUCCCUCAUGAAUAUUUUUAAAAGUUGGUAGACAUUGACUAUAUUUCGUUCAAAAUUUAUAAUAUUUGAUAUUACUAGAAGAGUGAUAAAAGUGUAAAGAUAGAAAAUAAAUCAAUUGAUAAAAUAUCACAAUAGAACAACAUUGCCUUUUAUGCAACUUUUGAAAAAUUACUGAAGUUCCUAUCAAGGAAAAAAGGUUGUAUUAAUUUCUGACUUAAAAAAAAACCCAUUGGGCACUUCACAAAACCCUUAGCAAAGGAGCAUUGAAUGUAAUAAUGAUUGUUUUUAUAUGGCUAUGCUGUAAUUCAAGAUUGACCAAUGUUUAGACUGUAUUACAAUUGAAUUAUUUACUUAUAACUUUUAGUGACCUAUAGUUGCAAAAUCUACCUCAUUUGGUGUCUUGUGGAAAGUUGUCUCAUUGGCAAUCAUACCAAAUCCUCUCUUUUUAUAGUUUUCUUCAAAGCUAUGAUAGACCUUAAUAACUUCUAUGGUAUCAAUCAACAAAUUACAACGCUGAGAGGAAAUCUUCUUCAUAGUCAUGUUACAUUCUUUGUGGUUUUUAUUCAGAUAAUGAACUAUAUGUGAAGUGUUUAAACUGAUUUUAGUUAUUAAAUGUUUAGAACUUUUUUGUAGACAAAGUAAUUUUUUUUAAGAUAAUAUAAUAAAAUUGAUUGUAAAUUCCAUUUUAUUUAGAAUUAAAUGUUGUGCAAUUUUACAGUUAGAAAUUCAAUGAUAUUGUUACUGUACUGUUUAUAUUUAUCCCUCUGUUAAAAGUUAGUCAUUCUGUAUAAACUAUUUUAUUUGUAUUUUAAAUUGUUCUUUUAAUUUUACAAUAAAUAUUUAACCUUUCUCAACAAACUCUAUUUUCAUCUGCCAUCAGUACUUUUGUCCCUUUUGAGUUGUUUCACUUUUUGCUACUCAGGUGCCUUACCUAUGGGUUUGGCUUAUCGUUGAAGGUAAUAUGGAAUUGUCUUACCAUUCUUUAUUGUUCUGAGUUGGCAAUUAUUAUGAAUUAUACCACAUUGCCUUAUUUUAAUUUAAUUAGGAGACCAAGUAAGAUCAAAGUUAGCUAUGGAAUCGUAGCUUAUGUUGUCCAUAUGAUUUUUUUUGACAAUUUGCAGACUGCCAGUAGUCAACAAAUAUCAUAAAGAUCA
rnacentral:lncRNA from 1 species